rnacentral:rRNA from 1 species
AGCGAACGCUGGCGGCAGGCCUAACACAUGCAAGUCGAACGGACCCUUCGGGGUUAGUGGCGGACGGGUGAGUAACACGUGGGAACGUGCCCUUUGGUUCGGAACAACUCAGGGAAACUUGAGCUAAUACCGAAUGUGCCCUUCGGGGGAAAGAUUUAUCGCCAUUGGAGCGGCCCGCGUCUGAUUAGCUAGUUGGUGGGGUAAUGGCCUACCAAGGCGACGAUCAGUAGCUGGUCUGAGAGGAUGAUCAGCCACAUUGGGACUGAGACACGGCCCAAACUCCUACGGGAGGCAGCAGUGGGGAAUCUUGCGCAAUGGGCGAAAGCCUGACGCAGCCAUGCCGCGUGAAUGAUGAAGGUCUUAGGAUUGUAAAAUUCUUUCACCGGGGACGAUAAUGACGGUACCCGGAGAAGAAGCCCCGGCUAACUUCGUGCCAGCCGCCGCGGUAA